AGCUAAAAUCAAAGGAUUGGCACAGAAUCAAGCUGGCUGCGUCCCGUCGGGAUUGCUGACAGAUUCCGUAGAAGCAGAGGGAUUGAGGAAGGAAUAUCUGAGGAUACCUCUGAACUGAAUGGGGGGUGGUGUUGGAGUUGAGGAGGGAAGGUGAAAAAAACAGAUCUCACGAUUUUUAUGAUCGGAGGUUAGGCUACAGAAGAUUUCCGUUUUUCUCUCUUGUUUUUCGUUCUCCUCGUUCACAUUGCUCUCUUGUGGAACACUUUCCAAACAGUAUCAGGUUCCAGAUCUUGACUUGUGAUAACACAGCAUUUUGUCUGGGGUAAACAGGAGUACAGAAAAAAAUCUGUCAGGAAGGCAAAUAGAAAAAUCCAGCAGAGAUAAAAUAGCUCAAUUCCUCUCCCAGAGGCAUGGAGAGGGGGAUAAAAACGGAGAUUGAGUGACAAGGGUCAUCCGGGGAAGAAAAAAAAAAUCUAAUUUUCGAGAUGAAAAGAAGAUGAAAAUUGAAAAAGAAGCCUAACUUGAUCAAAAAGUCCUACUUCCAACUUUCAAUACCAGAAAUCCUCAAGUGCACCUGUGACCACACUUUUGCUGGUUGGAAAGUAGGUGCAUUCCGAGAGCAUCUGGGAAUGUGUGGAGAAUUCUAGAAGAACUUCUUGCUGUCAGCAGGCAAGUAGAAGAAGACGAGUCAAGGGUGGCAAAAUGGGCCUUUACAGAGCAGGAAACAGCCUGGAGCCAGAGGA